UCCAGAAUAUUGGGCAAUGGGGGAAACCCUGACCCAGCGACGCCGCGUGAAGGAUGAAGUAUUUCGGUAUGUAAACUUCGAAAGAAUAGGAAGAAUAAAUGACGGUACUAUUUAUAAGGUCCGGCUAACUACGUGCCAGCAGCCGCGGUAAUACGUAGGGACCAAGCGUUGUUCGGAUUUACUGGGCGUAAAGGGCGCGUAGGCGGCAUGACAAGUCACUUGUGAAAUCUCUGGGCUUAACCCAGAACGGCCAAGUGAUACUGUCGCGCUAGAGUGCAGAAGGGGCAAUCGGAAUUCUUGGUGUAGCGGUGAAAUGCGUAGAUAUCAAGAGGAACACCUGAGGUGAAGACGGGUUGCUGGGCUGACACUGACGCUGAGGCGCGAAAGCCAGGGGAGCAAACGGGAUUAGAUACCCCUGUAGUCCCUGAGCGGGCUGGCAAGGCGCAU
rnacentral:rRNA from 1 species